GCUAAACCUGAAGAGUUUACUACACUGGGAUAAUUUGGGGACAGCCCCCCAUGGGUGUCACCCCCUGUCCCUCCCGCAGGUGUUGCAGUACAAGAAGAAAUGCGGGGAGGUGGAGCAGCAGCUGCUGGAGAAGGCGACGGAGCUGGAGCAGGAGAGGCUGACGAUCCAGCUGGAUGCCAGCGGCUCCCAGCCCGAGGAGGAGAGCAGCAACGAGCUGGAGAACGCCCUGAUCCGCCUGGAGGAGGAGCAGCAGAGGAGCAGCAGCCUGGUGCAGGUGAACUCGAUGCUGCGGGAGCAGCUGGAACAGGCCAACGUGGCCAAUGCGGCGCUGAGCGAGGACAUCAGGAAGCUCACGGCGGACUGGGCACGGGCCAGGGACGAGCUGGAGCAGCGGGAGGUGGAGUGGAGGCGGGAGGAGGAGGUGAGAGACACCCGGGAGGGGAUACCGGACACCGGGGAGCAGCAGCAGGGGGAUGAGGGGAUGUGGGAUCAU
rnacentral:lncRNA from 1 species